GUAGUCCACGCCGUAAACGGUGGGUACUAGGUGUGGGUUUCCUUCCUUGGGAUCCGUGCCGUAGCUAACGCAUUAAGUACCCCGCCUGGGGAGUACGGCCGCAAGGCUAAAACUCAAAGAAAUUGACGGGGGCCCGCACAAGCGGCGGAGCAUGUGGAUUAAUUCGAUGCAACGCGAAGAACCUUACCUGGGCUUGACAUGCACUAGAAACACCUAGAGAUAGGUGCCCCCUUGUGGUUGGUGUGCAGGUGGUGCAUGGCUGUCGUCAGCUCGUGUCGUGAGAUGUUGGGUUAAGUCCCGCAACGAGCGCAACCCUUGUCUCAUGUUGCCAGCACGUUAUGGUGGGGACUCGUGAGAGACUGCCGGGGUCAACUCGGAGGAAGGUGGGGAUGACGUCAAGUCAUCAUGCCCCUUAUGUCCAGGGCUUCACACAUGCUACAAUGGCCGGUACAAAGGGUUGCCAACCCGCGAGGGGGAGCUAAUCCCAUAAAACCAGUCGUAGUCCGGAUCGCAGUCUGCAACUCGACUGCGUGAAGUCGGAAUCGUUAGUAAUCGUGGAUCAGAAUGUCACGGUGAAUA
rnacentral:rRNA from 1 species